rnacentral:lncRNA from 1 species
CAUCAAAUAAAAACAAAACAUCACUGUAAAAGUAUAUAGCUAUUUUAAAACAUAGAAAUAGGUAAUGUUGAAAACGUUAAAGCAUGUAUAUGACAAGAAUGUUUUAGAUAGAGCAUUAACACAAUAAGCAUAUCAUAUUUUUUAGAUGUCCUUUACGGAUCCUAAAUUGGUUAUUCGACAGUCUACGAUAAGACUGCUGACAUAUCACUUCAGAUGUUUGUCGAUUUAUGAUAAAGACCACUACCAUAUAAAAGCAAGCUGAACAGAAAGAAGAAACCUUUAAUAAAUGCCUGUCUUUAAAUUGCUAAUAAAAGACACUAGAUUGAUACAAAUUUGACCUAAUCAUGGAAUUAUACAAAUGCAUUCUUGUUUGUAGCUUGAAGUUAGCACUUCAGCUCGAUAAUGAGAUGUAGCCAGGUUAUUUUACGGUCAGUCGUACUUUUGAAAUAGACUUAUUUUUAUGAAUUGUCACAUUAGAGGAACUGUUUCGACAUAAUCACUCUACCACGGAGAUUACUUGUCACAUCAAUGAUUAUAAAAGCAAUGAUACAAUACAUGACAUUCUAACCAGCUCCGCCUAACACGGAGAGAACUGUAUUAUUUUUUUCGUAGUCUGCAUUUAGCAUAUUUUGUAUGAAGUAUAAAAUGAAACUACGUAGAAACGCAUUUAAUUCUAAUAACUACAUUUUUACACGUUCAAUUAUUGGUGAAACUUAGCAUGCGUUUUGAAUUCGUAUCUGCUGAAUAGAUCUACAGUCGAUUUCUUUUAAUAUAUUUUACUUACUAACAAAUAAAGUAACGUUUCUCUGAAGAGACCUGCUUGACAGUUAUAUUUGUAAGUUCAAAAUUGUGUAUCCUCAAAUUACUUGUUCGUGAUAUGUUUGUCUAAUGGCAUAAGACAUAAAAAAAAAAUGUUGGAUAGCAUUCAAGAAGUCAGCUCAUAGCUCAAGAAACAAGCUGAUUAGAAAAUAAACACAAUUAGUAAACAAUACAGAAGGAUGAGGGCUUAACGGUAAAAACCACGAGAGAUUGAACUCAAACAAUAGUAGAGUAUGCCCUUGUUCAACGAAUUAACAAAAUAAUAUAAAAAUUAUUCAUUUUAUUACUCUGUUAAUGUAUCUUGUUUUCAUUUUUAUAAUUCAAUAUCGGUAUCAAAGGAUUGAGAAAAGCACAUUGACGUGAAUUUUUGAAUAAUUAUAUCUAUGGUCUUUUCUUAGAAAGCACAGAUUGUAAGAUAAUUACUCAAUAUAGAGACAAAACUGUGUGGGCUUUGCUCAUUGUUGAAGGCCGUACAGUGACAUGUAGUUGUUAAUUUCUGUGUCAUUUGGUUUCUUGUGGAGAGUUGUCUCAUUGGCAAUCAUAUCGCAUCUCCUUUUUUAUAGCACCUUUCGUUAAAUAUGUAAAAAAAGUUUACAAUAAUUGCAAGAUUUAAAUUAUGAAAAUUCUGGGUUUUCUAAUAUAAGAUGUUUGAAGACGUAUAUAAACAUGUAAGCUAUAAACAUAUGAUUAAAUAAAAUGAGAGGCUUCGAUCAUGCAUGUUUCAAGACAUAGUAGAGUAAUUAAUUAAAUGCCCAUAAAGUUUAGAUAUGAAAAAGGAAAUACAACAUAUUUGAACAUAUCAUGGAACUUUAAGCAAGAUAUGGAAACCAAAGACCAUCUGAAUAUAUUAUAAUAUUUUGAGUAUAUGUUUUUUUUGCAAGUAUCUAUCAAUAAUUUGCAUAAUUAGCGGAAAUAAUUCAGGUUAGUCUCAUUGAAUACCAAAUAUGAUCAUAUAAUACAGUAAAGUUAAGUUUACGCAACGUCUUUCUUCUAAAUAUUGAAAUAGUUCUUACAAUCAUUCACCCACUGCUGGAAGUAAACGUAUCACUUUUCAUUCAUUGGCAGACGUUAACAUACGACCUUACAUAUAGUACGGUGACCAAGUAAGGAAAAGUCGCUUAUUUAAGGAUUUUAAUCGUCAUUCGGACUAUACGGCUAUAAAUCACAGUAAUUGUAGUUUAAAGGUUACACUUCACAUUUUGACUUGUCGUCAAAAAAUCGUACGGUGAAUUUUUUUGAAAAAUGGGCUUUGAAAUAGGGCUCCCUUACUUUUAAGACAAAUUGACUUUCAAAAGUUUUUAGGUCUACAUUCUAAAAGAACAUUCGUGAUAUGCCUUCUGUUAUUAUAUACAUUGUUGUUACACCUUAUUUUAACAA